rnacentral:lncRNA from 1 species
UCCACCUUUACUUUCUUCUCUUAAUGUUUAUAAUUAGGUCGUUACCUUAAAUUCUCCUAUUGCUUAUGUUUGUCACUUUAAAUGAUAUCUUUAACCUCUAUUUCUUGUUCUGUGAAUUUUAGGUAGGAUCCCUUAACUCUACACUUUAAAAAUUAAGAUAUGGUAGAAUUUUUUUGGCAAGAAAAAAAUUAAAAAGAAGAAAAACUUAAGCUAUUUGGCUCCUUACUCUUCCUUCAACUUUUCUUCCACACCAGAGUCCUUUCCACAUCCCACCAUCUACCACCUACUUUUUCCUUUUAUAUUUCCAAGGUUGUUAACAUUUACCUUCAUGCAAUCACCACCCGGGUUUCUGUGCUUUUUCACAGAUUGACUCUAAAUAUAAUGACCCAGAAACAGCAUUUACAUUAUCCUUAUUGUGUAAAUAUUCUUUAAAGUUGGACCAAGUACUAUAUUAAGAUUGCAUUACUUUUUUCUGUGGACCAAAUACAACCCCUAGGGUCACUCAAAAGAGAUUGUGAUGGCUUUGUAAUGUGUUAGUGCGUUAUGCUACCAGCUAGGCUGACCUAUGUGUUCUGGAAUUCCUCUCCCUAUAUGAUUCAUAUUAGAUUGGGCCACAAGAGACAUUCUGUGUCAGAUUUUGAAGGCAGAAAUGAAAAAGUGGUUAUAUUGUUUGUAUGCUCAGAAGAUCAAGGAAGAGGCAACAGGAGGUUUUAGCUCUCACAUAUUUUCUUAUUUAGCAGCUCACAUUGUUGGGUAGGAGCAGAAGCCCAGCCUGCAGCUGCUCCAUCUUCCCCUAGGUCUUUCUGUUUCUUCUUCUUUCAGUUUCUUCUACGCCAGGUGUGUGCUUAGCUCCAUGACAAAAGGUGACAGCUUAUUCUGCAGCACACACACAUCAUCAAAGUGGGAGGUGGUGAGACUGGCACACUGACAGUCUGUCCUAGCAGAUUUCAGCUCACACUGGUGAGUUCCAGCAUGCUUAUACCGCUAUUUUACACGUCUUCCCUUCGCCAUUGUCUAUCUGCAGACUUCUCCAACAUCAGAUGCCAGAUGUCUCAUGGAAACUAAAUAACUUCUACAAUUGUGUGUGUAUUUAUAUAAUUGAUACAAAUAUUGGUUCUAACAUCAAUUCCAAGUUGAUUUUUUAACAUUCAACAAUUACUUCCAAUUGUGUCACUUCUUAUUUUGCUUCAUAUUUUUUACUGACAUUUCUAAUUAUAUUUCUUGGUUCCUUGAAUUUGUAACUUUAUCAUACUCAUAUUCUUCCUCAUUCUUAAUCAUAUUGUCCAUAGAGUUCCUUCCCCCACACCUUUCCCCCAACCCCAUAGAUAAACUUAUUUAUUUCCUUCAAUCGAGGACUAUGCAAACUAUAAUUAUGGGAUUUCUUUGACUUCUUUACCAGUUAGACACACUGUUUCCAAAAUUCCAUAUAACCUUUGUGCACUCUUCUGUUUUACUUUAAUAUAUCCUGUUAGUCACAAAGAAAAAUUGAUGAAGAAUAAAUAUUUUGAAUUUUGCAUGAUUAAAAAUGUCUUCAAACAAUCAUCAUAUAUGGUUGAUGGUCUGAGCAUAAAACAUUUUGUCUCAUAAAUUUGAAAAAUAUUUUUAUAGAAGUUUUUAGUGUCUUUUCUCCUUGGUGAUCUGUAAAAUGUUACAAGAAUAUGCCUUUGUGGGGAUCUUUUUGCAGUCUCAGACACCUAGUGGAUCCAGAUCCUUUUAAUCUGAAGACUCAUGUCCUUUUCAGUUUUAAAUAAUUUCCUUAUAUCCGUAUCUUUAAUAAUACUUCCUCUUCCAUCGCCACCACCCCAUCCUAACCCCAAGCACGCACUAUUUUUUGUUCUCUUUCUAAGACUCUUACUAACCAAAAGUUGAACAUUCCAUAUUUGAACCCUAUGCCUCAUUUCCUUGCUAACAUUUCCAUUACUUUCUCAUUUGGGUCUACUUUCUGGGAGAUUAUUAUCUUUUAUCUCAAUGGUUACAUUUUAAUCUGUAGAAGCUCUCUUUUAUUGUGUAAUAGUUUUCUUUGCAUUACUUUCCUGUUCUUGGAUUAAGAUUAAUAAAAAAAUACUAAUAUCCUCUUUAAAUUUCUAUGAAUAUAUUAACUAUUUCAGAUACAAUGGAAAGGACACUGGCCUUGAGUCAGAUAUCUGGACCUUGAUUAUUUAAUGUACCAAACAAGGAUAAUAUUUACUAUUCCACAGGAUUAUUUUGAAUAUUAAAAGAGAUAAUAUAUUUUAAGAGCCUUGUAAAUUAUGAAAUAUGUAAGUACAACAUAAGAAAGAUAUUUAAAUUAUUAUAUAUCCCUGCAUGACAAUGUUUCUGAGCAUGGCAAUUAAAUGCUUUUACGAACCCACGUUUAGUUAUUUCCUUCUAUAAUGUUCUAUAUACAUAAAACUUCAACCACAUCACACAAUGAAACUUGUGGAGUUAUUUUUUUGAGUCCUUUGCUGUCAUUCCUCCAGGCCUUGCUUUUGUUAAUGGAGCAGACACUGUCAUAUAUACCCAAUAUUCAUUUUCCACAUCUUCAGUAAUAAAAUCCUGUUUUUAGCAAAACACAUCAUUUCCCCACUUCUCCACCUCUCUUGAGGUUGCUUCCAGAAAUAAACAGAAUCAGUGUACACAACUUUUGGUAAAUGUUUGGAAAUAAAGAGGGCAUGCUCUUCUUCCCUACUAUCCCUUUCCUUUCUGCUGGCUGGAAUGCAGAUAUGAUGAAUGGAAAUAAUGUGGCCGUCUUAGAGCCUGAGCUGGAAGCCAUGUAUGGAAUAUGGUGGAGAAACAACAUGGAGGGAACACCCUUGGCUCCUACCUCUGAGUACAGUACCCAUGCUAGACUAACUAUACCUAGAUUUCUUUUAUGGGAGCAAGAGACAGUUUCCUAGCUUGUCAGACCAAUAUAACUUGGGGUUUUCUACUACUCCAUGAUGAACCUAAUCCUAAUUAAUAUGCUGUUAUAGUUUCUCAGCCUUUUGGUUAAGAUCAGAUAUACUAAGACACUCCCCAUCAGGACAUGACAGUAUUUACUCAUCCUUUAUGAGCCAAUGAAAGCAUCACCCUCUCUAGUAAGUCCUGCCUAAUGAGACCUCCCCAAUAGGAUUUAAUGUCUUUAUUAUAGAAUAUAUUUUUCAUGAGACAAAGGAUCCUGUUUAUUUUAUUCACUAGUGUGUGCCUAGUGCCUUGAAAAAUGUGUGGGCCAUAUUAAGCAGGUGUUUGUUUGUUUUUUGAGAUGCAGUCUCGUUCCACCACGCAUGGCCUUAAGCAGUUAAAUAGUUGUUAAGUAUGCACAACUCUAUAACCCUUAGGAUUUUGUGGUUACCUCAGCUAAACCAUAGAUGCUUUUCCCAAGCCUCUCUCCCUACACAAAUUGUAACCUCACUAGCGGG